rnacentral:rRNA from 1 species
CCCGCCUAUAUACCACCGUCGUCAGCUUACCCUGUGAAGGGCUAAUAGUAAGCAAAACCGGCAAAGCCCAAAACGUCAGGUCGAGGUGUAGCGUAUGGAAGGGGAAGAAAUGGGCUACAUUCACUGAUUUAGUGUAUACGAAUGACACCCUGAAACACGUGUCUGAAGGAGGAUUUAGCAGUAAGCAGAAAAUAGAGCGUUCUACUGAAACUGGCCCUGAAGCGCGCACACACCGCCCGUCACUCUCCCCGAGCUAAGACUCUCAAAUAAAUAAAUAACUAUACCUGCAAAGGGGAGGCAAGUCGUAACAUGGUAAGUGUACCGGAAGGUGCACUUGGAAAAAC